AUCUCUUUUAAAUCAUUUGUGCAUGAGAUAUCAUUUUAGAAUCACAAUUGCUCACUUUCAAAUCCAUUCUUAUUCUCACUAACUUAAUGCAAGACUAAUCCGUAAGGGCCAUCUUCAAAGUUAUUCUCACUCCCUAUGGUAGGGAAGAUCGAAUCGUGCACAUUCCAUCCAUCACACCAUAAAAAAUUAAAUUCCAAAAGGGCCAUCUUCAAUAUAGAUCUAACCUCUUAUAUGAGAAAGAUCAAAUCAUUAAUGUGCACAUACCAUGAUAUUCAACACAAAGCUAACAUCAGUGUUUCCUCAACAAAUGAGGGACAGGUAAUAACCAUGUCGAGCAUUAGUAGUGAGAUACAAAAUAACAUCCAAAAAUUCAUUGCCCCCUUUUUUUGUGAGCAUCACAAUACAAUUCAUUUCCAUGCCAAAUUCAGAAAUCAAAUGUAUUUCUAUACAAGUCACAAUUCAUAAUAUCAUUUCCAUUUUCCCAUACAACCCCAUUUUAAUCACAAUUUCUCAAAAUCAAAUUCUUUCAUGCCAUAAUAAUAAUAUUCACCAAUCGUUGAGAUAAAAAUCAAUACUUAAUAAACAUAAUACAUGAAGAAAAUAAAAUCAUUCAGUCAUUUGAAAUAUGCAAAACAAUUUAUAAUUAAAAACUAGUUAGGCACAAAACUUUUUAGCUUGCCUUAAUUUAAUCUUCUCUAAUUCCUUCCUUUAAAGGCUCUUUUCUCA
rnacentral:misc_RNA from 1 species